UACGUAGGGUGCGAGCGUUAAUCGGAAUUACUGGGCGUAAAGCGUGCGCAGGCGGUUUUGUAAGCCCGAUGUGAAAUCCCCGGGCUCAACCUGGGAAUGGCAUUUGGGACUGCAAGGCUAGAAUCUGGCAGAGGGGGGUAGAAUUCCACGUGUAGCAGUGAAAUGCGUAGAGAUGUGGAGGAACACCGAUGGCGAAGGCAGCCCCCUGGGUCAAGAUUGACGCUCAUGCACGAAAGCGUGGGGAGCAAACAGG
rnacentral:rRNA from 1 species